CCUACGGGAGGCAGCAGUAGGGAAUUUUCGGCAAUGGGGGAAACCCUGACCGAGCAACGCCGCGUGAAGGAAGAAGUAAUUCGUUAUGUAAACUUCUGUCAUAGAGGAAGAACGGUGGAUAUAGGGAAUGAUAUCCAAGUGACGGUACUCUAUAAGAAAGCCACGGCUAACUACGUGCCAGCAGCCGCGGUAAUACGUAGGUGGCGAGCGUUAUCCGGAAUUAUUGGGCGUAAAGAGGGAUCAGGCGGCACUAAGGGUCUGUGGUGAAAGAUCGAAGCUUAACUUCGGUAAGCCAUGGAAACCGUAGAGCUAGAGUGUGUGAGAGGAUCGUGGAAUUCCAUGUGUAGCGGUGAAAUGCGUAGAUAUAUGGAGGAACACCAGUGGCGAAGGCGACGAUCUGGCGCAUAACUGACGCUCAGUCCCGAAAGCGUGGGGAGCAAAUAGGAUUAGAUACCCGUGUAGUC
rnacentral:rRNA from 1 species